rnacentral:rRNA from 1 species
GACGAACGCUGGCGGCGUGCCUAAUACAUGCAAGUAGAACGCACAGUUUAUACCGUAGCUUGCUACACCAUAGACUGUGAGUUGCGAACGGGUGAGUAACGCGUAGGUAACCUGCCUGGUAGCGGGGGAUAACUAUUGGAAACGAUAGCUAAUACCGCAUAAUAUUAAUUAUUGCAUGAUAAUUAAUUGAAAGGUGCAAUUGCACCACUACCAGAUGGACCUGCGUUGUAUUAGCUAGUAGGUGAGGUAACGGCUCACCUAGGCGACGAUACGUAGCCGACCUGAGAGGGUGAUCGGCCACACUGGGACUGAGACACGGCCCAGACUCCUACGGGAGGCAGCAGUAGGGAAUCUUCGGCAAUGGACGAAAGUCUGACCGAGCAACGCCGCGUGAGUGAAGAAGGUUUUCGGAUCGUAAAGCUCUGUUGUAAGAGAAGAACGGGUGUGAGAGUGGAAAGUUCACACUGUGACGGUAUCUUACCAGAAAGGGACGGCUAACUACGUG